CCAAAACUUAGCUGCUCCAGUUCAGGCUGGUUGCACGCUUCAACCCUUUGUGAACCAAAAACCUUACGCUUCGGCAGCUGGUUCCAGCUGUAAGCCUGCCGAUGGCACCCAUUUAAACCUGUCGUUAAAUAUUUGUCUGAACUAAAUAUUUUCGAAUGAAAAUUA
rnacentral:misc_RNA from 1 species